rnacentral:rRNA from 1 species
AGCGAACGCUGGCGGCAGGCUUAACACAUGCAAGUCGAGCGCCCCGCAAGGGGCGCGGCAGACGGGAGAGUAACACGUGGGAACAUACCUUUUGGUUCGGAACAACUGAGGGAAACUUCAGCUAAUACCGGAUAAGCCCUUACGGGGAAAGAUUUAUCGCCGAAAGAUUGGCCCGCGUCUGAUUAGCUAGUUGGUGAGGUAACGGCUCACCAAGGCGACGAUCAGUAGCUGGUCUGAGAGGAUGGUCAGCCUCACUGGGACUGAGACACGGCCCGGACUCCUACGGGAGGGAGGAGUGGGGAAUAUUGGACAAUGGGGGCAACCCUGAUCCAGCCAUGCCGCGUGAGUGAUGAAGGCCUUAGGGUUGUAAAGCUCUUUUGCCCGGGAAGAUAAUGACGGUACCGGGAGAAUAAGCCCCGGCUAACUUCGUG